CCUACGUGGUGCAGCAGUGGGGAAUAUUGGACAAUGGGCGAAAGCCUGAUCCAGCCAUGCCGCGUGUGUGAAGAAGGCCUUCGGGUUGUAAAGCACUUUCAGUGGGGAAGAAAGCCUUGGGGCUAAUACCCUCGAGGAAGGACAUCACCCACAGAAGAAGCACCGGCUAACUCCGUGCCAGCAGCCGCGGUAAUACGGAGGGUGCGAGCGUUAAUCGGAAUUACUGGGCGUAAAGCGCGCGUAGGCGGUCUGAUAAGCCGGUUGUGAAAGCCCCGGGCUCAACCUGGGAACGGCAUCCGGAACUGUCAGGCUAGAGUGCAGGAGAGGAAGGUAGAAUUCCCGGUGUAGCGGUGAAAUGCGUAGAGAUCGGGAGGAAUACCAGUGGCGAAGGCGGCCUUCUGGACUGACACUGACGCUGAGGUGCGAAAGCGUGGGUAGCAAACAGGAGUAGAUACCCCUGUAGUC
rnacentral:rRNA from 1 species